GGCGACGUGGCCGAGUGGCUGAGGCAAGGGCCUGCAAAGCCCUCCACAUGGGUUCGAUUCCCAUCGUCGCCUCCA
rnacentral:tRNA from 3 species